CUUCCUCUCCUUCCGGGUCCUCACUUCCCCGAUUGCCGAUUGGGCGAAACCCUAGCCACCACUCCCCGUCGCGCCCCUCUCCUCCACUCCCCAUCGCGCCCCCUCUCCUCCAAUCCCCGCAGCCGACGACGAGGUCUCGCCCUUCGCCGAGCUUGCCACCACCGCUGCUCUCCCCUCGCCAUCGCCGGGAGGAGUGUGUAGGCCGCCGCUCGCGUCGUUUCUCCGCAGCCGCCACCGCCCCCUUCCCUUCCAAGCCCGCGGAGAUGACGGCGCCGGCGCUGGCGCUCGCGGUGGUCGGGUACUGGGACUGAGUCGCCGCCGCCACAUCAUCUUCUCCUCCUCCCGACACCGCAUGAGUGCGGGUCGCCGUCGCAUCAGAUGAGGUGGGGCUACAACCACGCCCCCUUCACCUCUUCUACCCAGCCGUGCCACUCGGGACGACAAGAUCCAGCCAUGGCGGCCGAGAUCCAGUUGGCUGCCAUCUGCCAUCGAUAUGAGGAGCGCUCGCGCCGCUGCUCCGCCGUUCGUCGUCCACUUGGCCGCAACCAUGCACAAGAAGAGGUGAUGUCACGGCAGCAGGGUCCUCACCUGUCUCCGCUCCCUCGUCUCCCCCUUCUGCUGGCAAGGGUGCUGAGCAGCAACAGUUCCAUCUCCCUCCCCAACGCGUCAUUGCCUCAUCUUGAGCUGCAGUGAACCAGAGCCCAGAGAAAGAGAUUUGAUGUGAUGAUUGAGGUAGAAGGCAUGGAUUGUUUGGGGCUUCUCUGAAAUAAGCGUCUCUAAUGCAGGAAAACAACAUGAAUGAGCUUAAGAGAUUUAAUGAAGAGAUGAAUACAGUCGGAGCCUGGGAUUUUUAUACACAGAGAUGGUGCAUAAAUAAGCAAAACAAAAAAUGCGCCAAUGCUUUGCCAGAAUUUCGUUGGUCCUCUCAAAAUUGUGGGGAAACCAAGAUUGAAUUUAGAGAUGUUUCAUAUGCUUGGUCGUUGACACACCUCUCUUCAAGGCAAGGUCAUUUCCAAGGUGAUUACAGCGCUAGGACCUGCCCCUGAUAAGAACCAGGGCACCCGUUUAAACAGAAUGAUGACUGUGUGAGGCUUAAAAUAUCGCCAUCAUAGCAGGGGUGAUGCUGUCACUUCCAUGGUCCACCAGAAUGAAGAUCGCACUCAGUGCUGCAAGGGGGCUUGCCUUCCUGCAUGAAGCUGAGAAGCCAGUUGUCUACAUGGAUUCAAGACAUCCAACAUAUUGCUCGACGGGGU